CUUCCUCAUCCCCGCCCUUCUACCUCUUUCCCUUUCCUUUCCCAGCCCUGGAGGUUGAAGAAGCCAGGCCAGCGCCAUGUUGGGCUCGGACUCCCCCUGAUUAGGAUGUACAGUUGGACUACGGAAAAAAAGAAAGUGAAGUGCGCCAACUGCAAUACAGAGCUGGAAAAAACCGGCACCAUCUUAUCCACUUAGCCCUCCAUGGGCUUCGAAGCCUGUCCGGUGCCAUGUUAAUUACGGGCACUGGGCAGCCAUUUUCCCGCUCCUCAUCGUUCGGUAUCUGUCUUUGAUUGGGUCACCCGAAUGUGUGCUUUGUGAGAGGAAAGGCGUUUCGAGGUG